rnacentral:rRNA from 1 species
GACGAACGCUGGCGGCGUGCUUACCACAUGCAAGUCGCGCGGAGCGGCGAACGAGUGAGUAACGCGUGAGUAACUGCCCCCCUCUCUGGGAUAACCGUUGGAAACGGCUGCUAAUACCGGCUAGUGGGGGAUGACUCGCGUCCUCUCAGCUUGUUGGUGGGGUAGUGGCCUACUAAGGCGACGACUGGUAGCAGGCCUGAGAGCGCGACUGGCACCGGUGGGCGUAGAUUCAGCCCGAACUCCCACGGGAGGCAGCAGUGGGGAAUAUUGCACAAUGGUGGAAACCCUUAUGCAGCCACGCCGCGUGCGGGAUGACGGCCUUCGUGUUGUAAGCCGCUUUCAGCAAUGACGCGUUAGUGGCAGAAGUCGCACCGGAUGACUACGUGCCAGCAGCCGGGGUAAUUC